rnacentral:rRNA from 1 species
GAACGGGUGAGUACACGUGGGUGAUCUGCCCUGCACUUUGGGAUAAGCCUGGGAAACUGGGUCUAAUACCGAAUAGGACCACGCGCUUCAUGGUGUGUGGUGGAAAGCUUUUGCGGUGUGGGAUGGGCCCGCGGCCUNUNNNCNUGUUGGUGGGGUAAUGGCCUACCAAGGCGACGACGGGUAGCCGGCCUGAGAGGGUGACCGGCCACACUGGGACUGAGAUACGGCCCAGACUCCUACGGGAGGCAGCAGUGGGGAAUAUUGCACAAUGGGCGCAAGCCUGAUGCAGCGACGCCGCGUGAGGGAUGACGGCCUUCGGGUUGUAAACCUCUUUCAAUAGGGACGAAGCGCAAGUGACGGUACCUAUAGAAGAAGCACCGGCCAACUACGUGCUAGCAGCCGCGGUAAUACGUAGGGUGCGAGCGUUGUCCGGAAUUACUGGGCGUAAAGAGCUCGUAGGUGGUUUGUCGCGUUGUUCGUGAAAACUCACAGCUUAACUGUGGGCGUGCGGGCGAUACGGGCAGACUAGAGUACUGCAGGGGAGACUGGAAUUCCUGGUGUAGCGGUGGAAUGCGCAGAUAUCAGGAGGAACACCGGUGGCGAAGGCGGGUCUCUGGGCAGUAACUGACGCUGAGGAGCGAAAGCGUGGGGAGCGAACAGGAUUAGAUACCCUGGUAGUCCACGCCGUAAACGGUGGGUACUAGGUGUGGGUUCCUUCCUUGGGAUCCGUGCCGUAGCUAACGCAUUAAGUACCCCGCCUGGNGAGUACGGCCGCAAGGCUAAAACUCAAAGGAAUUGACGGGGGCCCGCACAAGCGGCGGAGCAUGUGGAUUAAU